CUAGUAGGUGGGGUAAUGGCUCACCUAGGCGACGAUCCCUAGCUGGUCUGAGAGGAUGACCAGCCACACUGGAACUGAGACACGGUCCAGACUCCUACGGGAGGCAGCAGUGGGGAAUAUUGCACAAUGGGCGCAAGCCUGAUGCAGCCAUGCCGCGUGUGUGAAGAAGGCCUUCGGGUUGUAAAGCACUUUCAGCGGGGAGGAAGGCGGUGAGGUUAAUAACCUCAUCGAUUGACGUUACCCGCAGAAGAAGCACCGGCUAACUCCGUGCCAGCAGCCGCGGUAAUACGGAGGGUGCAAGCGUUAAUCGGAAUUACUGGGCGUAAAGCGCACGCAGGCGGUCUGUCAAGUCGGAUGUGAAAUCCCCGGGCUUAACCUGGGAACUGCAUUCGAAACUGGCAGGCUAGAGUCUUGUAGNAGGGGGGUAGAAUUCCAGGUGUA
rnacentral:rRNA from 1 species